UACGUACGAGGCAAGCGUUAUCCGGAAUCACUGGGCGUAAAGCGCACGUAGGCGGAUUGUUAAGUCAGGGGUGAAAUCCUGGAGCUCAACUCCAGAACUGCCUUUGAUACUGGCGAUCUUGAGUCCGGGAGAGGUGAGUGGAACUGCGAGUGUAGAGGUGAAAUUCGUAGAUAUUCGCAAGAACACCAGUGGCGAAGGCGGCUCACUGGCCCGGUACUGACGCUGAGGCACGAAAGCGUGGGGAGCAAACAGG
rnacentral:rRNA from 1 species